rnacentral:lncRNA from 1 species
AUGGAAAUGCAGAAAUCACCCAUCUUCUGCGUCGCUCACGCUGGGAGCUGUAGACUGGAGCUGUUCCUAUUCGGCCAUCUUGGCUCCUCCCCCAGGAGUUUCUCUUGAAGGAGACCAGCUGAUGCAUGUCCAUGGCUGCCACAUUAUGAAACAGAAAAGAAGCAAAGGGCAGAGAAUACAGUCUUUGCCUUCCAGAAGUUUAGUUGGGUAAACCAAUGGGUGUUACACAUGUGAGAAUACAAGCAUGCAUGUGACGGUGCCGGAUUACGAUAUGCAAAGAUUCCGAGGGAGUCCAAAACCAUCAAAAGGUCAACCUGGGAUGAGUUUAAUCAGCUGAGCAAAGUAGUAAACUUAGAUCAGUGCACAGAAGGUGGAACAAAUGGAAUGGGUACAGGCAGACAGGGGAGGAGCUGCAGUAAAGUUAAAGAAGAGAAUGAAGAGCAUGGCCUAGUUGUUUCUUAAAGAGCUGUCUACGAAGACAGAAAAGAAGCAAGGAGAGAGGGAGUUCACAAGGCAGAGAAUAAAUAUGAAGUGAAAAGAGGGUAGAAACAUGAAAGAGGCAAGAAGGUCUUCGUAAACUGCUCAUUUGUUUAUUUUGUUUAAAAAAGACAUCUGAGUAACUUCAGACUCAGACCAUGAUCUGCAUGGCAAGAAUCCAGGAAGCCUUAGUCUGUUGGAAUGAAAAACAUUUCAUCAGGAUCCAAUAAAUUAUUGCAUUUAUUAAAGAAUAAAAAAGGAGCAUGGUAUUUGGAGUUGGUAGACCCUUGCAGCCCUGCUUAUGGACUAAUAUUGGAAUUCCAGCUGCCAGUGGUAGGAAGGAUUCUUCCUGCCUGAGCUCACAGACACAAAUCCCAGAGGCUGUACAUGUCCCAGCAAAGAAGAUAUUGAAAAUGUGUGAAAAUGGGAAAAUGGACAUUCUGAACUCUUCUAAAGCAACUGAUAGGUGAUUUUACUGAUGCUGAUAACAUUAGAGAGUAGGAUAGUUUAUGGUAAAAUAACAUAUUUUUAAAUAUUAGAAUACACGUGUACACAUACAUACGUACAUAGAUGUAAUAUACUCACAUAUUAUAACCUUGUUCAAUAAAUUUGACAUCUUCCCACAGACACUGAAGAGAUAUUUAACACAUACUAUUGAACACUGUAGAAAGCUAGAUGAAAUGAGUUCAGAAAAACUUUGUACCAAUAGACCUGGUACCUAUACUUUGUCAUGUUAACAACGAAGUAUUAUAUGUUAUAGGCCCAUUGUUCACCCCUUAGAGCACCUAAAAGGAGUAGUUUUCAUUGCCUUACACCUCAUCAAGCCAACUAAGAAGAAAGGUGGCUGGGUCAGAUGGCUCAGGCCUAUAAUCCCAGAACUUUUGGAGGCCGAGGUGGAAGGAUCGCUUGAGCCCAGGACUUUGAGACCAGCCUGGGCAAUAGUGAGACAAAAAAUUUAAAAAUUAGCCAGGUGUCGUGGUGCAUGCCUGUAGUCUCAGCUACUUGGGAGGCUAUAGUAGCUGAGCCCAGGAAGUGGAGGCUGCAAUGAGCCACGAUCACACCACUGAACUCCAGCCUGUGCAACAGAGCAAGAUCAUGUCUAAAAACAAACACACACACACACACACACACACACACACACACACACACACACGAGAGAGAGAGAGAGAGAGAGAAGAAAGGUAUAUCAUUUUGGGAACUUCAAAAUUAUAGUGACAACAUUAGGUUUGACAUGAUAGGUAUAUUAUUUGAUAAUAAAAGCUCAUUUCAUCAUAAUGAUAGAAGUACCACUACUCUCUUUUCUUUCCAUUUUGAACUCUAUGUAUUUAAAUAAUAAGGAAGAAAAAAAGACAGUGAGGAUUAUUAAGAGACAGAUGUUAAAUAUAAAGAAAAAAUAGGCCAGAUGUGGUAGCUCAGGAGGCUGAGGCAGGAGGAUUGCUUGAGCCCAGGACAUGGAGACUGCAGUGAGCCGUGAUUACACCACUGCACUCCAGCUUGGGUGACAGAGCAAGACCCUGUCUCAAAAAGUAAUAGUAAAGAAAGAAAGAAAUAUAAAUAAGAAUCAUUCCAAUUCAUACAUAGAAUAAAUAUUAGCACACAGAUGAUAAAACUUGAAAUGUGUAAAAUUCUAAUAAUCAAAAUAAUUUGCAGCACAUGGGUAUAUGUAAACCAUUUUUUUAAAUUGGCUUAUAGUAUAAAAUUUGUGAGGAAAG